GACGAACGCUGGCGGCGUGCUUAACACAUGCAAGUCGAGCGGUAAGGCCCUUUCGGGGGUACACGAGCGGCGAACGGGUGAGUAACACGUGGGUGACCUGCCCUUAGCUCUGGGAUAAGCCUGGGAAACUGGGUCUAAUACCGGAUAUGACUCCAUGACGCAUGUUGUGGGGUGGAAAGCCUUGUGCGGCUAGGGAUGGGCCCGCGGCCUAUCAGCUUGUUGGUGGGGUGAUGGCCUACCAAGGCGACGACGGGUAGCCGGCCUGAGAGGGCGACCGGCCACACUGGGACUGAGACACGGCCCAGACUCCUACGGGAGGCAGCAGGUGGGGAAUCUUGCGCAAUGGGCGAAAGCCUGACGCAGCGACGCCGCGUGAGGGAUGAC
rnacentral:rRNA from 1 species